rnacentral:rRNA from 1 species
UACGACGGGUACGGGCCAGAGAGGGGGAGCCCGGAGAUGGACUCUGAGACACGAGUCCAGGCCCUACGGGGCGCAGCAGGCGCGAAAACUCCGCAAUGCUCGAAAGAGCGACGGGGGAACUCCGAGUGCCUACGCUUUGCGUAGGCUUUUCCUGAGCCUAAAAAGCUCAGGGAAUAAGGGCUGGGUAAGACGGGUGCCAUCUGUGAUGGUAGUCAUAGAUUUGACUUGCCGUCGCAAGGCAUAAGCCGCCGCGGUAAUACCCGCAGCUCGAGUGGUGGCCGCUAUUAUUGGGCCUAAAGCGUCCGUAGCCGGUCUGAUAAAUGCCUGGGUAAAUCGUAGAGCUCAACUCUACGGCUCCCAGGUAGACUGUCAGACUCGGGACCGGAGGAGGGAGAGGGUACUCCAGGGGUAGGGGUGAAAUCAGCAGAGCAUCACUCUGAUGAUGUGAAUUGCUCUGCAAGUCACAAUCCUGUAAUCCCUGGAGGACCACCGGUGGCGAAGGCGCUCUCCUAGGACGGGUCCGACGGUGAGGGACGAAGGCCAGGGGAGCAAACCGGAUUAGAUACCCGGGUAGUCCUGGCCGUAAACGAUGUGGACUCGGUAUUGGGAUGGCUACGAGCUGCCCCAGUGCCGUAGGGAAGCCGUUAAGUCCACCGCCUGGGGAGUACGGUCGCAAGGCUGAAACUUAAAGGAAUUGGCGGGGGAGCACCGCAACGGGAGGAGCGUGCGGUUUAAUUGGAUUCAACGCCGGAAAGCUUACCAGGGGAGACUGCCGGAUGUGGGCCAGGCUGAAGACCUUGCCCGAACAACAGGCAGAGAGGAGGUGCAUGGCC